GCAGAGCUACCAAGUUGUGCAUACUUAGAGAUUAGGAUGCAAGUCCUCAAAGACUGAGCUCCCAUGCCAAUCUAUGAAAUUGAGCUCCCAAGCAGCAUAUCCUUGGAAAUCGAGACACGAGUCCCUGAAGGCCAACCAGAGCCAUUCCAAGUUCUCAAUCGGGUUAGGCAUCCCUGUAAAGCCGGAUGCGAGUCUGGUGAUGCCAAGCUCCUAGGUCAAGCUCCCAUGUCUCACAUCCCCAAAGAUUGGGACAUAAGUCCCAUGUAGAGCACUCCCAAGUCUUGCAUCCCUAG
rnacentral:lncRNA from 1 species